AGUGAACGCUGGCGGUAGGCCUAACACAUGCAAGUCGAACGGCGGCACAGUAAGAGCUUGCUCUUACGGGUGGCGAGUGGCGGACGGGUGAGGAAUACAUCGGAAUCUACUUUUUCGUGGGGGAUAACGUAGGGAAACUUACGCUAAUACCGCAUACGACCUACGGGUGAAAGCAGGGGAUCUUCGGACCUUGCGCGAUUGAAUGAGCCGAUGUCGGAUUAGCUAGUUGGCGGGGUAAAGGCCCACCAAGGCGACGAUCCGUAGCUGGUCUGAGAGGAUGAUCAGCCACACUGGAACUGAGACACGGUCCAGACUCCUACGGGAGGCAGCAGUGGGGAAUAUUGGACAAUGGGCGCAAGCCUGAUCCAGCCAUACCGCGUGGGUGAAGAAGGCCUUCGGGUUGUAAAGCCCUUUUGUUUGGAAAGAAAAGCAGCAGGUUAAUACCCCGCUGUUCUGACGGUACCCAAAGAAUAAGCACCGGCUAACUUCGUG
rnacentral:rRNA from 1 species